rnacentral:rRNA from 1 species
CCUUGUACACACCGCCCGUCACACCACGAAAGCGAGCAACACCCGAAGCCAGUGGCCUAACCGCAAGGAGGGAGCUGUCGAAGGUGGGGUUCGUGAUUGGGGUG